rnacentral:rRNA from 1 species
GAUGAACGCUGGCGGCGUGCCUUAGGCAUGCAAGUCGAACGGUCCCGCAUUUUGCGGGAUAGUGGCAGACGGGUGAGUAACGCGUAGGAAUGUACCCCUAAGAGGAGAAUAGCCUAUCGAAAGAUAGGGUAAUACUCCAUACGCCCCGCAUUUAUGCGGGGGAAAGAGUGUAACUACUCGCUUUGGGAGCAGCCUGCGUCCUAUCAGCUUGUUGGUGAGGUAAUGGCUCACCAAGGCUUCAACGGGUAGCCGGUGUGAGAGCACGACCGGCCACAAUGUCACUGAAACACGGGGCAUACGUCUACGGACGGCAGCAACCGGGAAUAUUGCGCAAUGGGCGAAAGCCUGACGCAGCGACGCCGCGUGAAGGAUGACAGCCUUCGGGUUGUAAACUUCUUUUAUUCAGGAACAUAAUGAGGGUACUGGAUGAAUAAGCACCGGCAAACUACGUGCCAGCAGCAGCGGUAAAACGUAGGGUGCAAGCGUUAUCCGGAUUUACUGGGCGUAAAGAGUAUCGUAGGCGGUUGGAAAAGUCAUUCGUUAAAGCCCGAGGCUUAACUUCGGAAAGGCGGGUGAUACUUUCUGACUAGUGCACAGUCGGGGAUGUUGGAAUGUCUGGUGGAGGGGUGAAAUCCGUUGAGAUCAGACAGAACACCGAGGGCGAAGGCAGAUAUCUAGGCUGUUCCAGACGCUGAUGAACGAAAGCUGGGGUAGCAAAAGGGAUUAGAGACCCCUGUAGUCCCAUGCCGUAAACGAUCUCUACUAGCUCUCCCGGAUUUAAUCUGGGGGGGCGUAAGCUAACGCGUUAAGUAGAGCGCCUGGGGAGUGCGGCCGCAAGGCUAAAACUUAAAGGAAUUGACGGGAAGGCGCACAACCAGUGGAGCAUGUGGUUUAAUUCGAUACGAAGCGUAGGACCUUACCUGGGUUUGACAUCCCGCUGCAUCCCCGAUGAAAAUCGGGAGUUCUUUGAGAGUGCGGGACAGCUGCUGCAUGGUUGUCGUCAGCUCGUGUCGUGAGAUCUCUGCUUAAGUGCAGUAACGAGCGCAACCCUCAUCCUGAGUUAAAUGUUCUCAGGAGACUGCCUCAGUUAAACUGGGGAGGAAGGGGAGGAUGACGUCAAAUCAGCACGGCGCUUAUAUCCAGGGCGACACACAUCCUACAAUGGCUAGCACAAUGGGUUGCGAGGCGGUAACGCGGAGCUAAUCCCUUAAAACUAGCCUCAGUUCAGAUUGAGGGCUGCAACUCGCCCUCAUGAAGUUGGAAUUGGUAGUAAUCGCGGGUCAGCAGACCGCGGUGAAUACGUUCUCGCCUUUUGUACACACUGCCCGUCAAGCGAGGAGAGUUGGGGGUAUCCAAAGUC